UGCGUAGGGUGCGAGCGUUGUCCGGAAUUAUUGGGCGUAAAGGGCUCGUAGGCGGUUUGUCACGUCGGGAGUGAAAACUCGGGGCUUAACCCCGAGCCUGCUUCCGAUACGGGCAGACUAGAGGUAUGCAGGGGAGAACGGAAUUCCUGGUGUAGCGGUGAAAUGCGCAGAUAUCAGGAGGAACACCGGUGGCGAAGGCGGUUCUCUGGGCAUUACCUGACGCUGAGGAGCGAAAGUGUGGGGAGCGAACAGG
rnacentral:rRNA from 1 species